rnacentral:rRNA from 2 species
UACCUGGUUGAUCCUGCCAGUAGUCAUAG